rnacentral:sRNA from 1 species
ACUGCGCUAAGGAUUGAAGCGGCAUCCCCCAAUUGCCAUUGGGGAUAUAGCUGAAAGCCUGACGGCGA